GAGUUUGAUCCUGGCUCAGAUUGAACGCUGGCGGCAUGCUUUACACAUGCAAGUCGAACGGCAGCACAAGGAGCUUGCUCCUGGGUGGCGAGUGGCGAACGGGUGAGUAAUGUAUCGGAACGUGCCUGGUAGUGGGGGAUAACCACUCGAAAGAGUGGCUAAUACCGCAUGAGAUCUCUGGAUGAAAGCGGGGGACCUUUUGGCCUCGCGCUACUGGAGCGGCCGAUAUCAGAUUAGGUAGUUGGUGGGGUAAAGGCCUACCAAGCCUGCGAUCUGUAGCUGGUCUGAGAGGACGACCAGCCACACUGGGACUGAGACACGGCCCAGACUCCUACGGGAGGCAGCAGUGGGGAAUUUUGGACAAUGGGCGCAAGCCUGAUCCAGCAAUGCCGCGUGCAGGACGAAGGCCCUCGGGUUGUAAACUGCUUUUGUACAGAACGAAAACUCUCUGGUU
rnacentral:rRNA from 1 species